rfam:Oryza sativa Japonica Group DNA, chromosome 11, cultivar: Nipponbare, complete sequence.
AAAAAGACAAAUAUUGAGUUUCCGUGUCCAACGUUUAACUGUCCGUCUUAUAUAAAAAUUUUUUAUAUUAGUAAUUUCUUGUUGUUGGAUGAUAAAACAUGAUUAAUACUUUAUGCGUGACUUGUCUUUUUAAUUUUUUUCAUAAUUUUUUCAAAUAAGACGGACGGUCAAACGUUGGACACGGAAACCUAGGUGUGCCUUUUUU